GUACUUUUCAAGUAAAGGAUAUAAGGACUAGGAAUUGACCGUUGAAUUUAGUAACCUGAAAAUCAUUAAUGACCUUGCCAACUGUAAUUUCAGUGGAGCAAUGAACUGAAGAUAUUUGAGUGAGUUCAAGAGAGACUCAGAAGAGAAGAAUUGGAGGCAGCAAACAUAGACAGCACUUUUAAUGCUUUUCUCAUAUGCUGUAAGACAUGAAAGCAAUCUAUUGGGAUGAAAGCUGAAAGGAGAAGCGGGACAAGAGAAGUGAAUCCGUGGAAGACCCCCAAAAGAGGCUGCAGAUUCUUAGUGGACAGCUCUCAUAUCCCCUCCAGGGAAAAUGAUGAAAAAUGUCUUCAGAAAAAUAGCUUUAUGAAGGCAAGAGGACUUUUUGCACCUGCAAGACAUGUCUGAAAGCUCCUCAGGUCAAAACACAAGUAGUCAAGAGAUUUGUCCAUCUAAUUCAUCAUACUACUCUGAUCCAAGUGAGACCCACACUGGGUCAGCUCCAUCAAGGAGAAGAACAUUCCACCCACGUUUGGAUUCUGGAAUAUCAUCCUUGCUUCCAUCAGAUUCUUGUAAGUACCUCACUUGGCACAAGGUAGACAUGACGUUCAAGGAAGUCAACUGCGUUGCCCAAGAGUAAGAGAAGGAAUCUCUGAAGAAGAGCAACUUUUCAGACAGGUAGAGUGUGCCUUGCUCCCAAGGAAAAGAGUUCUUGAAAAAAACAAAUGGGAAACAUGGCUACAAGAAAACUGGGAAGACUGCAAGAAUUUGAACAUUUCAUUUCAGGGUUUGGGGGAUCCUUACCAAGUUGAAAAUUUUAACAGAAUUCUUAGAAGACUAAUUCGAGUUGAAACCCUCUGGUUAGUGGAUAAUUCACUGGUGGACUUAAGUGCCAUAAGAUUGCCAAGUUACCAAGGAUACCUCAGAUACAGCAUUUAUCCUUGGCCGAAAACCACAUUGAGACUCUUACUGGAUUCUCCAGUUUACGGUGCACUCCACUGGAAUCCCUUAUUCUCAAGAGGAACCCUUAGUAUUCUCCUGUUUGCCAAACUUAAAAAUGCUGGAUGGAAUCUUGAAGCUACCAGAAGAUUGCUUAUCACCAGAAACCAAUAUUUUUUCAAAAAUAUGCCUUGUAUCCUAAUGCAGUCUGUAUAGAAAGAAAGCAAUCAUCAUUGUUGCUAAAAGCUAAUAAACACAGGACAUGCAUGAUUAAAUAUUGCAGUUUAUUUUAUAUCUUUUUGCUUUUCUAAAUCAAGGUAGGAAAAUAUUUUCUGUAAAGGACCAGAUGGUAAACAUUUCAGGCUUUCUGGGCUAUAUGGUCUCUGUCACAACUACUCAACCCUGCCAUUGUAGUGCAAAAGCAGCCAUUGAUAAUAUGUAAAUGUAUGGGUGUGUCUGUG
rnacentral:lncRNA from 1 species